rnacentral:lncRNA from 1 species
GGCGAUUAGGUCAGGCUGGGUAUUUGGUUCGCGUUGCAGUGAUGGCCCAGGGUGAUGGUGACCGGGGCCAGCAUCCCGCUUCGGGCUCUGCUUUCUCAGGUCUCUACUUACUUCUAUAAGAUGGCAUCAAGAAGAAGGACCUGACCACUGGCCCCUGACUACAUGGUCUUUGGUGUCUUAUAGGGAAACUUCAGUAUUGCUUCUGUAUAUCCUCAACAGGAACCAGUGGCAUUGGAAGAUGUCAGAGACAUGGCACAUGGAUGUGAUCUUCAAAAACUGUUACAGCUUCAUCUCAUUGGAGGAAAGAGAUAAUAGCUUCUACUUAAUCCUGGAUACCGUAUCCAAAGUUAGAGCAUCCACUCCAAAGCCGAGAAUUUCUGAAAAACAAAACAAUGUCAUCAUAUGACGUUAGAAUUUUUUUUUCAAAUGAUGGUUCCUAAUACUUCACGUUAGAAGAACUCGAAUUUGAUAACCAGUUUGAGAAACACCAGUAUAACCAGAUUACAGGAAAAAGCAAGUCAAAAGGAAGAUCAUGAAUAUAACAACUUUGAGGAAACAUGAAUCAAAGACCAAAGCUUUUUAAACAACUGAGAGUUUUUAUAAGAAAAAGACCUCAUGCAGUAGUCCCCAGUUAUUCAUGCAGUAUACAUUCCAAGACCCCCAGAGAAUGCCUGAAAUCACUGAUGUACCAAACCCUAACCAGGUUCUUGGUAUGAGCUACUG